rnacentral:rRNA from 1 species
CUCCUACGGGAGGCAGCAGUGGGGAAUUUUGGACAAUGGGCGCAAGCCUGAUCCAGCCAUGCCGCGUGCAGGAAGAAGGCCUUCGGGUUGUAAACUGCUUUUGUACGGAACGAAAAAGCCCUGGUUAAUACCUGGGGCUGAUGACGGUACCGUAAGAAUAAGCACCGGCUAACUACGUGCCAGCAGCCGCGGUAAUACGUAGGGUGCGAGCGUUAAUCGGAAUUACUGGGCGUAAAGCGUGCGCAGGCGGUUUUGUAAGACAGAGGUGAAAUCCCCGGGCUCAACCUGGGAACUGCCUUUGUGACUGCAAGGCUGGAGUGCGGCAGAGGGGGAUGGAAUUCCGCGUGUAGCAGUGAAAUGCGUAGAUAUGCGGAGGAACACCGAUGGCGAAGGCAAUCCCCUGGGCCUGCACUGACGCUCAUGCACGAAAGCGUGGGGAGCAAACAGGAUUAGAUACCCCGGUAGU